rnacentral:rRNA from 1 species
UACGUAGGGUGCAAGCGUUGUCCGGAAUUAUUGGGCGUAAAGAGCUCGUAGGCGGCUCGUCGCGUCGGCCGUGAAAACCCGCGGCUUAACUGCGGGCUUGCGGUUGAUACGGGCGGGCUAGAGUUCGGUAGGGGAGACUGGAAUUCUCGGUGUAGCAGUGAAAUGCGUAGAUAUCGAGAGGAACACCAGUGGCGAAGGCGAGUCCCUGGACAACUCCUGACACUGAGGCACGAAAGCUAGGGGAGCAAACAGG